AGCACAUUUCUUGUGUGACCGCGUACUUUUUGUAGAACGGGCCAACGAGUUACGUUAAGUAGCAAGGUUAAGCACUUAAGGUGUGGAGCCGUAGCGAAAGCGAGUUUUAACUGAGCGUUCAGUUACUGGACGUAGACCCGAAACCGGGCGACCUACCCAUGAGCAGGAUGAAGCGAAAGUAAAAUUUCGUGGAGGUCCGAACCCACGAGCG
rnacentral:rRNA from 1 species